UAAUCACUCACUCAAAUCCUCUCUGCCUCCCUCCUCCUUUCACACUUGCUGUCAAAACUGUGUCUUAUAUAAGGAUUUCUGCGUAAAAUACAAGCGCGUUUAUUCAUCCAGUCGCUCCCCUCUCUCUCUCUUUUAAUGGAAAAACACUGAGAUACACAAACACAUUGACAAUGGACACAGUUGUUAACACAGACCUAGUAAAAGUCGACGGCAAUUGUUGACGUCCGUGCGUAAUUACGCACAGAGCGUGGAAGUGGCCACAGCUGGAGAGGCAUUCCAAAUUAAAUACUUGCGGGGCCAGCAACGGAUGAUUCUACCGGGACGAGGUGUAGCCUCUGCCCGAGAGCCAAGACGAUGUCUGUAGUUUCCCCCCUGACGAGGCUGCGACGCAGAGACACGUUCCUUUUGUUCGGGGCGAUCGUGCUGGUCGCAGCAGUGGCUGUCUACCAUGAGAUUGUCGUUACUAAUUCAUGGAUCCGAUACACAGGCCUGAAAGCUUACAGUAUCAGCAACAUCUGGAGGAAAGCCAAGUCUGACAACUGGGUCAGAGGGGCCGAACAAUACCAUGUGGAAGAUUCAUCUGUGUGGAGCUCCAGAUAUACUCCACAGCCCUGGACACCAAAG